ACAACCCUAGCAUUAAAGGCUAUGGUCUUGGUGUAAAUACAGCCAAAUGAACAGAUGAGAACAGCAAUUCGGAAAUCAUUAUCAGUUGAGGAGCAUAAGGAAUCAGAGAAACUUAGAGCUGAAAGCAAAGUAAAAAUGAUCUUGCCUAUUCUGAAAGCUCACCUAGAAAGAGAGAGACAUGGUGCAAACUGUACCAACAAGAUAAAUUAGAAGGAGAGACAUCAUGCAAUCAACUGUACCAACAAGAUAAAUUAGAGAUAAUUAACAAAGUGCUCAAUCAAGAGGAAUUGAUGUGAGAGAGUUCUACGUAACUGAAGUGCCCAUGGUGGGUGCUUAGUCGAAGAGCCUUGGAUUUGGACUCAGAAGAAUUCGAUCUCAAAAUUCUCAUCCACCCACGUUGGACAAUCUCUCCCCUCCAUUGGGGCUCGGUUUCCUCCUCAACAAAAUAAAAGAGAUGGACUAGA